UGGAUAGCUCAGUUGGUUAGAGCAUGGUGCUGAUAAUGCCAAGGUUACAAAUUCAACUCUGUAUGGGACAG